UCGAUGGGAGGAUCUAUAAACAGACCUCCGUUGCCGACGAAGGGGUUGUUGGGCUCCUUCAAGCCGAAACUGAAUCCGAAUCCAAAGAACCAAUAGGAGACGCAACCGGACUCCAACAUGCCGAAACCUGUCGAAAACGAAGUUUGCGUGAGAGCGUUUCAUCACCUGCAGGGUUGUACGUGAAACGAACAAGCAUCGUAGGUAUCAUUUUUGUGUUCUGACGAAAUGUGGCGAAUAAUUGUUAUUUUCGAUCUUACCUGUCUGCAUCGUAAAGAUCAUAAAGGAGCUCGUGACGAUCCAGUUGCUAUCCUCUUGACUCAGAUUAUACAUCGAACUGACAUAUCUAACAACAGUAAUGUUUGUAUAGUUUCUCUCGUAACUAGUGUCUUCCAUGGUGUCCAAACUGCUCGAUUGACAGGAACGAGUCGACUGUCGAACUUGGCCGUUCCUCGUCGUUAUACACGUUAGAACACGCAGCGUUCGCUCGCGACAAACAAGUUAACAAUUCAAGAGGCAUGGACGAAAGCUCUGACAUUGGUAUUGGAAUAGAUAUGUCGUUUCUGUCAGCAACCAAUCAGGUCAGUGUCUUCUAUCAGGAGGAAGGUGUCAGUGGACGUGAGAUCAAGGGAAUAUCUCUACGAAUAAAAAGAAGGUAGAGAGAAAAUAUAUACUCGGAUGGUCAAUCACGUUUUAACUUUUUUUAUUGGCUUUACAUCCAGCCAUUACACAAAAUUUUCUCCCUUGCAUAUCCAACAAUACGUUUUCGUUUUUUUCCUCUCAUGUUCAAAUGAUACAAUAAUGUAAAAGAAUAAUGCUAGCCUAAAUCAAGGAUGACAUUACACUCAUAUAACUCUGAUGUGUUAUCUACAAAAUAUUCAAAAUUUUUAAUACACAAUGAACUUACAGAAUAGGGAAUAAUGUGCAUUAAAACAUAACAUAUAAA